rnacentral:rRNA from 1 species
AGUGAACGCUGGCGGUAGGCCUAACACAUGCAAGUCGAACGGCAGCACAGUAAGAGCUUGCUCUUACGGGUGGCGAGUGGCGGACGGGCGAGGAAUACAUCGGAAUCUACUUUUUCGUGGGGGAUAACGUAGGGAAACUUACGCUAAUACCGCAUACGACCUACGGGUGAAAGCAGGGGAUCUUCGGACCUUGCGCGAUUGAAUGAGCCGAUGUCGGAUUAGCUAGUUGGCGGGGUAAAGGCCCACCAAGGCGACGAUCCGUAGCUGGUCUGAGAGGAUGGUCAGCCACACUGGAACUGAGACACGGUCCAGACUCCUACGGGAGGCAGCAGUGGGGAAUAUUGGACAAUGGGCGCAAGCCUGAUCCAGCCAUACCGCGUGGGUGAAGAAGGCCUUCGGGUUGUAAAGCCCUUUUGUUGGGAAAGAAAAGCAGCAGGUUAAUACCCCGCUGUUCUGACGGUACCCAAAGAAUAAGCACCGGCUAACUUCGUG